CCCACCUCCACGCCUUCAGCGCAGCCCCUGUGAAAGCCGCGCCAUUGUGGCCAAAAGCAAUGGCCGUCAAAAGCCGCUGUUGUUUACCAUUUUCCACACCAGAUCCUCAGGUCUCUUGGGCGAAAAAAAAAUAAAAGGAAAACUGGUUAGAUAGCAGGAGUACACCGCCCCACGCCCCCCCUUUUGAGGGGGGAAAACUCGUUGGAUGCUCCGCCAAGAUGAUUGACUUCUGCUGUUACACUUUAAGCAGCAGCCAUCGCUGCCGAUGGGUACUAUAUGCACGUGGAUCGGCCAAUUAUAUAGGCUGACUAUCUACGGAGAGUGUGCAAAAUGAAGCUUACUUUCAAGGUGUGAAAUUAAAACUUUUCAAAUAACAUAUACAAAUAAGUGCUUGGGAGUUAGGUAGCAAACGCAAUUUGUGUGCACCUAUUAAUAUUCAGAAUAUUCACAAUUCAUUUAUAAUAUUUUAAAACUGCUCUUGAUAUCUAGUAAUUAUUUGUAGUACAGCUUUAAUGAUUAUCCUGUGUGUUUUUAAGCAGUCGUAAGUAACUUUUAUACUAUAUAUAUAUAAACAGUUAACGAUCAUGAUUUGAUCUCUUUGUGGCAACAACUUUGGCUAAGAAUAUACUUUUCCCAGAUCUGUCAAAUUCUAGGGUAUCAGCCGCUUCGUCUUGGCCAAGUUUAGAUCGCCCUGGCUAGUGUGGCUUUUUGUCUCUGCCCGAUGCCCGAUCAAGUCAGAAUCUCUGGCCCGACUGCAACUGGGGAUCAAAAUGCUGCCGUUGUUAUUGUAAUUUUUUAUGAUAAUUUGCGGAAUUUUGUUUGCUGCCGUUGAGCGUGAUUACAAGCAUUGGACUCUUGGCCAUCGGCCUGGUGUUGUUGUUGUUCUUUUCCUUUUUUUUUUUUUUUGGCCCGAAGGCACUGGUAUCCGAUUCGCAGGGGCCAGUUUCCAGACUUGGGGCCAUCGAAGCAUUGUUAUUAGGCGCAUCUUAUCGACAGGAAGCGAUCAUCGCACAUUGGAAUGGCUUCGGUUUCGCAGCAAGACCUUUCCCCCCCCCUCGCCGCGCUGAAUGGCCGUGGUAUUGGGAAAAGCCCCCUUUAUUAACCCCCUUUUUAUGACUGCCACUGAUUGCUGGCUGUGCACUUGUUGUUGCAGUUAGCUGCCGUUGCCAUUUGCAGUUGCUUAUUAAAUGGAUUUCGUUGUAUUAUUAAGUUCUCUGGCAUUCGUGGAAAUUGUUACUUAGCCAGCAACUGGUUGUGGUUGUUGUGCUACUGCAUUGCAGUGAUACUCGCAAUUUUCCAUCUCGAUUUGGCAUUGUUCGUGCCCGAGCAGCAGCAUCCACAAUCCGACAAUCCGGCUAACCGACAAAUCCAGCAAUUCAACUGGGCCACAACAGAUGCCCAGAUACAUUUAGUGGCUUUGUUUCACUGGCUCCCCCGCCAAAGUGUGAAUAAAUGCAUAUUAAUCUGGCGCUGUUUUGCCUUAAUUAUUUAUCAUUACUUGGUUUAGGCCAAGUAAUUGCCAACUGCAAGUUUCCCUUUUUUUUUUUUUGGUUUUUUUUUAUUUUUUCUCUGCACCAGCUGGCAAAAUGGCAAAUAGAGACGUUAGAUUUGGACCAGAGAUUUUGUUGGAAAUCAUAGAGGAAAGUUGCAACUCAAUUUUAGCUUGACUGCGUUGCCUUACCCACUUUUUGAACACAAUUACGGUGCAUUUUGCAUUUUAAAUGGUGUGAAUCGAAAUUUGAACUUUCAUUAGGUAUUAUUAGGAUUUUCUUGGCAUCAUAAGCUACUGGAAUAUAUGAGUCUUUGAAUUCUCGCCUUUCCAAUAUAAUUUCUACAUCGUAGGUCAGCCAAGUCUAUUCACAAGAUAAAUAUGGAAAAAUAUGUUCCCUAAAUUCUGGGUUCCAUUAUGACAGCGCCAUUAGAUCAAUCAUUCAACUAUUUGCACACAGCUUGAGUUGAGGGAAUUACGCUGAAGGACCGACCGACCUCCUGACGACCUGAGAGGUCCUAGCACGUGCUCCUUGCCAUGCCCCCUCCAGGGCAGCUGCAGCAAGGACACCGAGGACAUGGAGGACUCGGGACAGGAUGCUUGAAAAACGAUACUCGAGCGCAUUGUUGCCGAUAAUUAUAUAGUGCGUCGAUGUCGAUCCAGCACCCAGAUUCCGAAUUCAGAUGCCGAGGAGCGAUUGGUGCGGCUCCUGCGCAAUCCAUCAGGAAAUCGGUGAAUCACCCAGUCGCAAGCACAUGGCUUCCGCUCGCCAGGACACUCGAGUCGCUCGCAGCACCAAGUUUCUAUGAUGGCACACAUUCCCGGCACCCCGGGCUCCGAUUUUUUUUCCUUUUGGGUGCUGUGAAAGCGCUUCCGGCCGGGCUCUAUAAUUAUAUUAGUGCGGAAUUCAAUGCCCGAAAAGGGUGCACUACUAACAUACAACAUGAGCUGGCGAGUCCUGCGUCGAAAGUCCUGCGUAAUUACGACAAAUCACAGACAGCGUAAUAGAAUUCAAGAGCUAGUGCCAGAUUUUACACUAGGAGAAAUAUAUAUUUAUUUAAUUCAUUAGUUAGUUGAAAAGCUUAAUUAAUCCGUAACCCCAAAGAUGAACAAUACAUUUUUAAAUAUAAUACAUGAUUGCUUGCUUAAAUCAGUAUGAAUGCAAGUAUUAAACAAAAUAUUUAUAAUAUUACAUUAAGAUCAAGAGAAUGGUUCAAUAUUUGCCGGCAGAAAACAUGUCGUUUGUUUUUUAUAAAUAUAUUUACAUGUUUAAAUCCAUUAAGGAUCUCCGAAGGACGACACUUCCGGUUUGCCCUAAAAAUUAUCUAAUUCCUAUUUGCUUUUGGUACUGAAGAGCGUAAAAUCGCUGCACUUAGGCAAUUGGCAAUUGGCUCACCCUAAAUCCAUAUUGCAGCAGUAUAUUAUUUGCCUUUGGUUUUCACAUACUUCCGGUUUGACAUGUGACAGGCAGCGUGUCCUUGCCCCCCGCUCUCUCCUCCCUCCACGCCCGUUGCCCAUGUGCCGAGUGGGCGUGUCACGCCCGCCCGUCAAAUGAAUCGCUGCUCCCCACCUCCUCUUCGGGAUGCAAAAACAACAAAAAAGGAGGAAGAGAAAAAAAAGCAAAAUGAAAGCAGGAGCAAAAAAUAAUAAUGAAAACCCGCGCCAGAAAUGGGCCGGCUGUCGAAGGUCCUGGCCGGGCCGGGCGUGGCAGGAUCCGGGGUUUUGCACCUCGUCAUCGCCCCGCUCCUGUUUUCCUGCUCCUGCCGCUGCUGCUGCAUUUUUAAAGGAGCUCGCUCGCGUUUGUCGCUCGUCGCACAAUUGGCACGCCCGUCCCGCCUUCGCCGCCGCCUCCUAUUCGACUCUCUGCAUCUCGCUGCCCAGCAUCGGGAAUGUCCUUUGUCCUUUGGCCAGGUCCUGUUAAUGGCCCGGCCCUUUGGCUGCACAGCAAGAAAAUAUCAGCACAAGCAAAGGACUCUAUUCACUUUACUGCAUUUUU